AUGAGUUACGUAUGCUGGAACUGCCGGGGUGGGGGCAACGCCUCGACAGUUCGCGAACUUCGCGAGAUAGCGAAGAAUUUUGCCCCUACCGUGCUUUGUAUUUUAGAGACACAAAUUGACAAGGCAAGGGUAGAAAGCUUAACAAGUUUAGUAGGUUUUGAUAAUGCUUAUGCAAUAAACAGUGUUGGCAGGAGAGGAGGUAUUGGACUUUUUUGGAAUAAAUCAAUAGAGAUAGAGAUUCUUGUUUACUCGGUUUACCAUGUGGGUGUUGCAAUUCGUGAACCAGGGUUAGAUCCAUGGAGAAUGACAGUGAUUUAUGGGGAGGCCCAGACCCACCUACGUCAUCAAACAUGGGACACUAUCAAAAAUAUAGGCAAUUCUAGUGAUCUACCGUGGCUUUGUAUAGGUGACUUCAACCAAGUUCUUCGUCCGGUUGAACAUGAGGGAAUCGGACAGCGGAGUAAUGCCCAAAUCCAAGCUUUUCGUAAUGUUGUGGACGUCUCCAUGUUGAUGGAUAUAGGGUUCAAGGAAAGAUUUUGGACAUUUGAAAAGAAAGUCGCGGGUGGAUCUUAUACUAGGGUCAGAUUAGACCGCGCUCUCGGGUCAGCAGAACGGUGUGCUCUUUUACCUAAUGCAAGCUUGACCCACCUAGAGGCAGCCACUUCGGAUCAUAUGGGUUUGUUGUUUCUUUUUCUUGUGUGUGUACAGGCAUGUGUGUCAAGAAGCCAAAGGAGAAGAUAA
rnacentral:rRNA from 1 species